rnacentral:rRNA from 1 species
AACGCUAGCUACAGGCUUAACACAUGCAAGUCGAGGGGUAGUAGGGUAGCAAUACCGCUGACGACCGGCGCACGGGUGAGUAACACGUAUCCAACCUUCCCAUAACUCGGGGAUAGCCUUUCGAAAGAAAGAUUAAUACCCGAUAGUACUUUUUCAAGGCAUCUUGAUAAAGUUAAAGAUUUAUUGGUUAUGGAUGGGGAUGCGUUCCAUUAGAUAGUUGGUGAGGUAACGGCUCACCAAGUCUUCGAUGGAUAGGGGUUCUGAGAGGAAGGUCCCCCACAUUGGUACUGAGACACGGACCAAACUCCUACGGGAGGCAGCAGUGAGGAAUAUUGGUCAAUGGGCGAGAGCCUGAACCAGCCAAGUAGCGUGAAGGAUGAAGGUCCUAUGGAUUGUAAACUUCUUUUAUAGUAGAAUAAAGUGACCUACGUGUGGGUUUUUGUAUGUAUACUAUGAAUAAGGAUCGGCUAACUCCGUGCCAGCAGCCGCGGUAAUACGGAGGAUCCGAGCGUUAUCCGGAUUUAUUGGGUUUAAAGGGUGCGUAGGCGGAAUAAUAAGUCAGUUGUGAAAGUUUGCGGCUCAACCGUAAAAUUGCAGUUGAUACUGUUAUUCUUGAGUGUACAUAAGGUAGGCGGAAUUCGUGGUGUAGCGGUGAAAUGCUUAGAUAUCACGAAGAACUCCGAUUG